UGGGGAAUUUUGGACAAUGGGCGCAAGCCUGAUCCAGCCAUGCCGCGUGCGGGAAGAAGGCCUUCGGGUUGUAAACCGCUUUUGUCAGGGAAGAAAUCUUCUGAGUUAAUACCUCGGGAGGAUGACGGUACCUGAAGAAUAAGCACCGGCUAACUACGUGCCAGCAGCCGCGGUAAUACGUAGGGUGCAAGCGUUAAUCGGAAUUACUGGGCGUAAAGCGUGCGCAGGCGGUUUUGUAAGACAGAGGUGAAAUCCCCGGGCUCAACCUGGGAACUGCCUUUGUGACUGCAAGGCUUGAGUGCGGCAGAGGGGGAUGGAAUUCCGCGUGUAGCAGUGAAGUGCGUAGAUAUGCGGAGGAACACCGAUGGCGAAGGCAAUCCCCCUGGGCCUGCACUGACGCUCAUGCACGAAAGCGUGGGGAGCAAACAGGAUUAGAUACCCCUGGUAGUCCACGCCCUAAACGAUGUCAACUGGUUGUUGGGAAGGUUCCUUCUCAGUAACGUAGCUAACGCGUGAAGUUGACCGCCUGGGGAGUACGGCCGCAAGGUUGAAACUCAAA
rnacentral:rRNA from 1 species